GAUGAACGCUAGCGGGAGGCUUAACACAUGCAAGUCGAGGGGUACAGUAGCAAUACUGGAGACCGGCGCACGGGUGAGUAACGCGUAUGCAACCUGCCCUUUACAGGAGGAUAGCCCGCUGAAAGGCGGAUUAAUACUGCAUAAUAUGGUACAAUCGCAUGGUUGAACCAUAAAAGCUGAGGCGGUAAAGGAUGGGCAUGCGUGACAUUAGCUUGUUGGCGGGGUAACGGCCCACCAAGGCGACGAUGUCUAGGGGUUCUGAGAGGAAGGUCCCCCACACUGGUACUGAGACACGGACCAGACUCCUACGGGAGGCAGCAGUGAGGAAUAUUGGUCAAUGGGCGCGAGCCUGAACCAGCCAUCCCGCGUGCAGGAAGACGGAUCUAUGGUUCGUAAACUUCUUUUGCAGGGGAAUAAAGUGGAGGACGUGUCCUCUUUUGUAUGUACCCUGAGAAUAAGGAUCGGCUAACUCCGUGCCAGCCGCCGCCGUAACAC
rnacentral:rRNA from 1 species